GCAUUCUUCUGAGUCUUUAAUCAACCUUUCACUGAGUACACAAUUUACAUGUGAGAGGAGUUUAGAGGAAUAGUUAUUUAUGCCUUAGAGUGGCUCAGUGAAUCUUCGUUUUUACAUGAACAGUAGGGCCUAGGAAGCAAUCAGAUAAGUAUUUGUCUCAGUUGAGCAGAGGGAUGACUUUAAGUUCUGUUUUUUGUCCCUCACCUGUGAGGAUAAGCUAUCAAUUUACUUUGCCAGGGUGAAAAUCAGCAGAACUGUUUUAGGGUAAAGAUCAUGAGGUCCACGAGGAAUUUUCUUGGGGGCAAAUUGUGAGGGAGGUUUGUAGCUUUUUUAUCUUUGUAGCUAUCUUAUUUAGGAAUAAAAUGGGAAGCAGGUUUGCCUGAUGCAGUUUCCAGCUUGACUUUUCCCUUUCGCUUGGUGAGAUUUAUUUUCCUUUCACACUCUGCUUUAUAUAAAGGAGGUUCGACCAUGUUGACUUCUUUUUAAAUGGAAUAGCACUGGAUUUAGAAUAGCAUUAACCAAACCAGCAAACUGUCUGACAUAGCUGCACAAAAAUACAAUGACACAUAUACCUACAUCAGCAAAUUAAGCCUGAUUUAAUUUUAUUGAUCUGAUCUCUACGGUUGAGCACCCUCCGUUUCUAAAAUAAUUUUAGUAUUUUUGACCGUAUAAAUCAACAAAUGCCUGUAACUCAUUUUGUGGCCAAACUUUCACUGUCAGGUAGUUUAAUUUCAAUUUCAGGUAGUUUAAUUUGACUUUCAGUCUCCAAAUUGGGAUUGGAUCCUGGCCUAAGUAACAAUGAAGGGUGGAGCAUAAGGGAAUUAAUGGCUUCCUCCUCAAGGGAGUGACAGUUUCCUCAGGCAAGGCAGAUACAGUUGUUUACAAGAAACACUCCUUGUCAGAUUAUGUGUUGUUGAUAGCGUUUACAGAGGAUUUGGAGGUUUGGAGUACUUCACCUUAGAAGUUGAAGUACAUAGAUGUCCCCAUUUUCCUUGUAGAGCUUUCCCUUAUCAGUUGCCUAAUGUUUACAAAUGAGACCAGCAAUGCACAGAUUCAAACUCUUAAAUUUGUUUCAAAGAAAUCUUAGCCUAUGAGUCAGUAUUUUUUUCUUGUUCUAAGAUGAAAUUUAGGGAACACAUUUCUCAUGGUUUAAGUUACCCAAUCCUGUCUGAAGUAGUCAGCUCACCCCCAAAGUCCUAAAACUUUUCUCAUCCUUUAAACUCUUUAAAUUGUUGAGUGGCAGCAGUUACCAGUUUCAUUCAGUUAGAGCUUCAUUUUCAGUGGCCAUGCAGCCUAAGAGAUAAUUUGUUGAGCGGUUUCACCACUGCAUAACAUAGACUACUAUGUUCUGCUUUUGUAAUUUGAACUUAGAAUUAACGAUCUUCUAUCCCAUCUUGGCUCUAUCCAAUUCUUAAUAACCAUAUUUGCAGGAUAAUGUAUGGGCUACAACUCUCUGGUAGAUUAGUUAGGGUUCUUGGUUGCAAGCAAAAGAAACAAAUUUUUAAAAAGUUAAGCAAAAAGGGAAUUUUACGAAAUAGUAUGAAGGAGCUGCCACAAUUGAGAGAAAGAAGGAAAAACUAUGUAGAAAGGAAUCAAGCAGCUCUGGGCAUCUCGACAGCAAAUAUGGCUCUCUCAUUGAAACAAAGAAGUUCAAAUCGUUUGAGAUGAUACAGUUGUUUCCUUAGUGGGUGAAUGUGUUUUAACUUCGGGAAGGUUAAGAGUUAUGUAUAGAAAUAAAGAAAUAGGGUACUCUCAGGGGUUUGAUGGUACAAAUUUGAUUUUUAAUUAUAUGUAAUAUUAAAGAUAAUUUAGCAUAUUCAAGUGACGGUAAGCCUUGAGAUUCCAAAUUUUAAAAUGUAUAAUUGGGUGAUUGGGUUAAACUUGUGGUUUUAAAUUGAAGUCUUUCUAAGUGCUGUAGUUUGAAUGUUCCCUCCAAAACUCAUGUUGAAACUUAAUCUGCAAUGGGACAGUAUUAAGAGGUGAGGCUUUUAAGAGGUGAUUGGGUCCUGAGGGCAGAAAGAUGGAUUAAUGGGUUAAUAGAUUAAUGGGUUGUCACUGGAGUGGGUUAGUUAUCACAGAGUGAAUCUGUUAUAAAAGUCAGUUUGGCAUGCUCUUUUCCUUUCCAUGUGAUGCCCUCUACCAUGUUAUGACACAACAAGAAGGUCCUCACCAGAAGCUAACUGAAUGGCAACACCAUACCUUUGGAAUUCCCAGAAUCCAGAAUUGUAAGAAAUAAAUUAAUUUUCUUUUAAAAAAAACCCAGUCUCAGGUAUUCUGGUAUAGCAACAAAAAAACAGACUAAAGACACUAAGUUUUAAAAUAAUAUUGUAACAUUUAGAAGAUCUUAAGACUCGCCACAUUUAUGAAUUAAAUUUAUUGUAUUUAUAAGAGCUGCAUUUAUACUUGGGAAGGUCUUAUUUAUUUACCAGACUAUUGAGGUACUUUUAAAAAAAGCAAUGUAUUGAACUUCUAAAUACAAUAUGUACUGUUUAAGAGUGUUUAGGUUUGUAAUUGGGACCAAGCAUUCACUAAAAGCUCACUUAAAAUUGAUUAAACUUAUGUGCUAUAUUUGUAAGUAGAAUGAUGAGAUUUAUAAGUUGAAUUUAAGGAAGUCUCCAGAGGGAAAUGUAAAUCUAUUAGAAGGUAGGAAGAACACCUGAAAUGGUAAAUAUAUGGGUAAAUAUAAAAUAUUAUAUAUUUUUCUUCUAAUUUUUUUAAGUCAUAUGAUUGUUUAAAAAGCUAUAACAAUACUGUAAUCUGGGGUUUAUUACAUAUGUAGAUGUAAUGCAUAUGAUAACUAGCACAAAAAAUGAGAGGUAAGUGAAAGUAUAUUGUUGCAAGGUUUUUAGAUUUCAUGUGAAGUUUUCUAAUACUGCCUCUAAAUAGACUAAAAUUAGAUAACAAUGCAUACUAUAGUUCUUAGAAUAACCAUUAAAAGCAAUAUAAAG
rnacentral:lncRNA from 1 species